GGGUUGUGAGGUUAAGCGACUAAGCGUACACGGUGGAUGCCCUGGCAGUCAGAGGCGAUGAAGGACGUGCUAAUCUGCGAAAAGCGUCGGUAAGGUGAUAUGAACCGUUAUAACCGGCGAUGUCCGAAUGGGGAAACCCAGUGCAAUUCGUUGCACUAUCGUUAACUGAAUACAUAGGUUAACGAGGCGAACCGGGGGAACUGAAACAUCUAAGUACCCCGAGGAAAAGAAAUCAACCGAGAUUCCCCCAGUAGCGGCGAGCGAACGGGGAGCAGCCCAGAGUCUGAAUCAGCUUGUGUGUUAGUGGAACGGUCUGGAAAGUCCGACGGUACAGGGUGAUAGUCCCGUACACCAAAAUGCACAGGCUGUGAACUCGAAGAGUAGGGCGGGACACGUGGUAUCCUGUCUGAAUAUGGGGGGACCAUCCUCCAAGGCUAAAUACUCCUGACUGACCGAUAGUGAACCAGUACCGUGAGGGAAAGGCGAAAAGAACCCCGGCGAGGGGAGUGAAAAAGAACCUGAAACCGUGUACGUACAAGCAGUGGGAGCACCCUUUAGGGUGUGACUGCGUACCUUUUGUAUAAUGGGUCAGCGACUUAUAUUCUGUAGCAAGGUUAACCGUAUAGGGGAGCCGCAGGGAAACCGAGUCUUAACUGGGCGUUAAGUUGCAGGGUAUAGACCCGAAACCCGGUGAUCUAGCCAUGGGCAGGUUGAAGGUUGGGUAACACUAACUGGAGGACCGAACCGACUAAUGUUGAAAAAUUAGCGGAUGACUUGUGGCUGGGGGUGAAAGGCCAAUCAAACCGGGAGAUAGCUGGUUCUCCCCGAAAGCUAUUUAGGUAGCGCCUCGUGAACUCAUCUUCGGGGGUAGAGCACUGUUUCGGCUAGGGGGUCAUCCCGACUUACCAACCCGAUGCAAACUACGAAUACCGAAGAAUGUUAUCACGGGAGACACACGGCGGGUGCUAACGUCCGUCGUGAAGAGGGAAACAACCCAGACCGCCAGCUAAGGUCCCAAAGUCACAGUUAAGUGGGAAACGAUGUGGGAAGGCACAGACAGCCAGGAUGUUGGCUUAGAAGCAGCCAUCAUUUAAAGAAAGCGUAAUAGCUCACUGGUCGAGUCGGCCUGCGCGGAAGAUGUAACGGGGCUAAACUGUGCACCGAAGCUGCGGCAGCGACACUAUGUGUUGUUGGGUAGGGGAGCGUUCUGUAAGCCUGCGAAGGUGGCCUGUGAGGGUUGCUGGAGGUAUCAGAAGUGCGAAUGCUGACAUAAGUAACGAUAAUGCGGGUGAAAAGCCCGCACGCCGGAAGACCAAGGGUUCCUGUCCAACGUUAAUCGGGGCAGGGUGAGUCGACCCCUAAGGCGAGGCCGAAAGGCGUAGUCGAUGGGAAACAGGUUAAUAUUCCUGUACUUGGUGUUACUGCGAAGGGGGGACGGAGAAGGCUAUGUUAGCCGGGCGACGGUUGUCCCGGUUUAAGCAUGUAGGCGGAGGUUCCAGGUAAAUCCGGUACCUUAUUAACGCUGAGGUGUGAUGACGAGGCACUACGGUGCUGAAGUAACAAAUGCCCUGCUUCCAGGAAAAGCCUCUAAGCAUCAGGUAACAUUAAAUCGUACCCCAAACCGACACAGGUGGUCAGGUAGAGAAUACCAAGGCGCUUGAGAGAACUCGGGUGAAGGAACUAGGCAAAAUGGUGCCGUAACUUCGGGAGAAGGCACGCUGAUAUGUAGGUGAAGUCCCUGCGGAUGGAGCUGAAAUCAGUCGAAGAUACCAGCUGGCUGCAACUGUUUAUUAAAAACACAGCACUGUGCAAACACGAAAGUGGACGUAUACGGUGUGACGCCUGCCCGGUGCCGGAAGGUUAAUUGAUGGGGUUAUCCGUAAGGAGAAGCUCUUGAUCGAAGCCCCGGUAAACGGCGGCCGUAACUAUAACGGUCCUAAGGUAGCGAAAUUCCUUGUCGGGUAAGUUCCGACCUGCACGAAUGGCGUAAUGAUGGCCAGGCUGUCUCCACCCGAGACUCAGUGAAAUUGAACUCGCUGUGAAGAUGCAGUGUACCCGCGGCAAGACGGAAAGACCCCGUGAACCUUUACUAUAGCUUGACACUGAACAUUGAGCCUUGAUGUGUAGGAUAGGUGGGAGGCUUUGAAGCGUGGACGCCAGUCUGCGUGGAGCCAACCUUGAAAUACCACCCUUUAAUGUUUGAUGUUCUAACGUUGGCCCCUAAUCGGGGUUGCGGACAGUGUCUGGUGGGUAGUUUGACUGGGGCGGUCUCCUCCCAAAGAGUAACGGAGGAGCACGAAGGUUAGCUAAUCCUGGUCGGACAUCAGGAGGUUAGUGCAAUGGCAUAAGCUAGCUUGACUGCGAGCGUGACGGCGCGAGCAGGUGCGAAAGCAGGUCAUAGUGAUCCGGUGGUUCUGAAUGGAAGGGCCAUCGCUCAACGGAUAAAAGGUACUCCGGGGAUAACAGGCUGAUACCGCCCAAGAGUUCAUAUCGACGGCGGUGUUUGGCACCUCGAUGUCGGCUCAUCACAUCCUGGGGCUGAAGUAGGUCCCAAGGGUAUGGCUGUUCGCCAUUUAAAGUGGUACGCGAGCUGGGUUUAGAACGUCGUGAGACAGUUCGGUCCCUAUCUGCCGUGGGCGCUGGAGAAUUGAGGGGGGCUGCUCCUAGUACGAGAGGACCGGAGUGGACGCAUCACUGGUGUUCGGGUUGUCAUGCCAAUGGCAUUGCCCGGUAGCUAAAUGCGGAAGAGAUAAGUGCUGAAAGCAUCUAAGCACGAAACUUGCCCCGAGAUGAGUUCUCCCUGAGACUUUAAGUCUCCUGAAGGAACGUUAAAGACGAUGACGUUGAUAGGUCGGGUGUGUAAGCGUAGCGAUACGUUGAGCUAACCGAUACUAAUGAACCGUGAGGCUUAACCUUACAACGCCGAAGGUGUUU
rnacentral:rRNA from 1 species